rnacentral:misc_RNA from 1 species
CUCGUUGACUUCCUCGGGAGGAGGCAGCGGUCUCGUCGGAGGAAGAGAAAAGAACUGUUUAACUUUGGUCAAAUCGACGGCGAGAUCGACACCACACUGCGGGCACGCAAACCGAGCUAAGCCAUGAGGAACAUUAAGAAUAGCCUUGCAAUUAGCACAAGGAAGCUGGAUCUUCGAUGGAUCGAUGCCGAUGCCGUGAGCUGGAACUUGCGACUGUUGUAUGUUUUUUUGCUGGUGGUUGUUGUGGACCCUACUCAUCAGCUCCGGCGGCAACAUUUGAUGCAUCUGACAACUCGGACACACAAAAUCAAUCAGACCCGGUGCCACAGUCAGGAUCAUCCGGCAACCUGCACACCGAACCUGGACGCCUCCGCCUUGUGACUGCGGCGCUGGCGGUGGCGGUGGUUGUGACGCCAGCGGCGGUGGCACCGAUGGCUGAGUCAUAGCGAUGUCGUCUGUUUUUGCAAAAUUGCUGGACCUAUACUUAUGGAUAGAUAAUAAAUACGUAGGGAAUAGGAAAUCAGGCGCGGGAAGCCGAAGGGGUUUUCUGUUUUAGGGACGUUAACCUUUUUCAGUAUCUGUGUCUCAGUCGUUUCGUUUUUCUCAUGCGGUUUGG